CUGACUCUGCUCUUUAAUGUUCUUAAUCAACGAGACAGCCCCGCCACGAAGGCUGCUGAAGAGAGAUCCGCCCCCACUGCAAAUAACAAUGAUAAAUAUUCAUCAAUCAAAAAUCGUUUGGAUUAGGGGCUAAAAUUACACAAAUGUUGGUACUUGUUUUUUGUGAGUGUUCAUAUUUUUGUAUACAGUUUUACAAUAAAAUUUAAAAUAUUUUACUAACUGUCAA